rnacentral:rRNA from 1 species
GUUUACGGCCAUGCCACCCUGAACAAGCCCAAAAGCUAAGCAGGGUCAGUCCUGAUUGGAAGCUAAGCAGGGUUGGGCCUGGUGGGAGAACACCUAGGAAGACCAGGUGCUGUAGGCA